UAUCCACCAUGUUCCACUCGUGUGUCUGGUGUUAAAUAGUCAUGUCAAGUUGCAAUCGUGUAUUUUGUUCACCUUGUACAUAUACACUGUACUUGUACACUGCAGCAGCCUAGUAGGCGUGAGAAGCCAUUUUUGUUGAUUAAGUUUUCUCCUGUUUUUUGUUAGAAAGUUAGGGUGGUGAUCCAAAUCAGCGUGGAGCAGAAUGCACCAUAGAGAUGUACAACUCUUCUGUUGAACACCUCAAGACUGAAGACUGCAAGGAAAGAAAGGUAAUCUACACCGAGCAUCUGAAGAACAACAUGCAAGUCCUCCAGCACAUUCAAUCCAAAACCUGUUCCAGUUCCUCAGACACCAUCAGAGACUGUCUGGAUAAAAAGAAACUUUGCCAACCACUGCAAGUAUCAAGUGUUUUAAAUUUUGUUUGACUGUUUAUUAUGUACUUAUUUGUUUUUGGUUGUAUUAAUUUUGAUAUUAAUUAGAUCAGUGCCUUUUUAGUCAUUAAUUUGAUCAUUAAAUAUUAACUGCUUAGGGCAGCACGGUGGCACGGUGGUUAGCACUGUUGCUGCACAGCAAGAAGGUCCUGAGUUCAAUUCCACCAUCAGGCUGGGGUCUUUCUGUGUGGAGUUUGCAUGUUCUCCCCGUGUUUGCGUGGGUUCCCUCCGGGUACUCCGGCUUCCUCUCACCAUCCAAAGACAUGCAGUUUGUGGGGAUGGGUUAAUUGAUUAAUCCAAAUUGCCCAUAGGUGUAAAUGUGAG
ensembl:lncRNA